AUCGUCAUUUUCAUUUUACUUAUCAAGUGAGUCAGAAGUAUAGUCAGUGACUGCAAAGUAAGACAGCAAGAGUUCAUGGAACCCAGGGUAUUCUUUACGAUGAAAAUGGAGACCUAAUGAUACCAUAGUUUUUUAAGUGGACUGUGAGAUAGACUAAUUGAAGGUAUAAAUUUUAGGUGAAACUAGAACUGUAGUCACCAACAAAAUUUUUAAGGUCUCUAUCCAGACAGGAAUAGUGAUGACGUAAAUCCACUUGCAAAAAAUUGCCGUUUGCCUAAUAGGCUAUUCUCACUGAUAGUUAUUGUAUUAUUUCACAUCAAUAAUUAUUAUUCAAUAAGUUUUCACUUUUCUUUCCUUUCACUGUCCCCGGUUCACCCAUUGCCUACAUUGGAGGUAGCCUGCAGUCUCAUCAUCACCAACUGAACUCAAUAUUGGGUCCAAGGUUGAACAUGCUACAAAGCCUUUUUUAAAGGUAUUCUACACACACACACACACACACACACACACGCAUUUGGACCAUACCCAUGGCACAUGGAUAUUCCCAGGCCAGAGAUCAGACCCAAGCCACAGCAGUGACAAUGCCAAAUCCUUGGCUGCAAGAUCACCGGGAAACGCCUACAAAGCAUUUUUUAAAAUUAACCUUAAAACAUCAUCUUUGUCCACCAAAAGGUAUAAUAAUGAUGAUGGUAACUGCUAUAAAUUACUAAGAUUUACCAUAAUAAUUUGUUAUUUCCAUUCUUACAACAGUAGUUAAGUAAAAUUAUCAACAUUUUAUAGAUGAAGAAACUGCUAGAUAGAGGUUAGGCAGACUUGUCCAAGGUCAUCCAGUAAGUGACAGCACUGGGAUUAGAAUCCACCUGUUAAUUACUCCAAAACCUAUACUGUGCAUAUUGCAGUUGCAUCCUUUCGUACUAGUUGCAAGAAAACAAGUUAGGAAAACAUUAUAUUCAUCAAUAAUCCCACCCAUUCUAAUUGAAUGGCAGAACUAGAGAAAGAGAAGGGGAAAAAAAAACAACUUGGGAAAGAAAAAUACAAGACAAAAAGAAAAGAUCAGAGAUUUUUUUUUCUUCUCAGGACACAAAUGAUACUUUUAUGUCAUACUUUGUAGAUGACUUAUCUUUUCAAAGACUUGGGGAUUCAUUUACUCUACCCGUUUAGCAAGUGCUUAUAUUCUGAAAGUGAAUUAACCAAUCUGGUCUGCUCCUUGUCCACUGUUAGAAAUCCGAGAUGUUUUAAUUGCAUGAGAUCACCUUUCUCCCUGCGAGGUGGAUGGCCUGUAUCCAUUAGCACCCAUCUUCCCAUACUAGCCUUGAGAGGAAAGACUGUCUUUCUCUGCCUUCUCAUUGCAAUUUAUAUUGCUUCUUUACCCUUUGUUAAGGUUUAACAGGAUUACAGCUAAUUUUAUUACAUGUAUCUUUCCCCUUGGUAGUACUUAAUACUCUCUUUUUAUUUUUAUGUGCCCCUUGCUUAGAGUAGGCACACUGAAUGUUGAAUUGAACUAAAUUCCCUAUCGAAUAAAUCGAUAAUACUGUUAACAUGUCUCAAUAUUUAUGAAUCUUGUAUGGAUUUAUUUCUUCAUUUCACAUAUAUUUAUAAGAGUACCUACUAUGUACUAUGUAUUUUUCCAAGUGCUGCACAUGCAGAGAUAAUGACUUGGAUAGACAGUAUUUGCCUUCAUGGAGCUUACAUUCUAAGGUGGGUGAUGUAAGUUUAGCAGAGGAGUACCAUAUGGAAUUCAGGAAAAGCUUCCUGGAGAAAAUAACCCCUGACUUGGGUCCUAGAGAACAAAUACAGAUUAGACUCUAUCAAGAAACACAUUUUCUCCAAGGGCAAAAUUUAAAACAGUGGUUCCCAAACUAUAGGGUGUUUGGGAAUUGUUUCGAGAGCUUAAUUUGUAUUUCAAAGCCCCACCUCAGAGGUUCUAUUUCAUUUGGUCUGGAGUGGAGCCCAAGAAUCUACAUUUUAUUAAGCUCCCCAGAAAUUCUGUCUGAGGUGCACUGGUAUCGAAUACUGAGCUCAUUAUGUAGAAUUCCUGGUAGCAGUGUUUCAGUGCCCACAGAUUAGACCUUGAAGUGUGAUCGUGAUAAAUAAGAGGACGAUUAAGAUGAGGAUUAGUGCCACUGAUCUUUUUUUUUUACUUGUGCUUCCUUAAAAAGAGAACUAUGUCAUGAAAAAUUUAGUGAUAGUAUGAGUUCCUGUGCAUUCUCAUUCAACAUAACUUUUUGAAAGUGUUCGAUGAUACAAUAAAUUGUAUUAUGUUAGUUUUAUGAUUCCUGAAAAUUCCUUUGGAUUAUUGUUCAAAUACUCCCUUCCAGACUCUCUUUACAAUGAUAGAUGCAAGGUAAAAAGAGAGUCUGAGGAAAUAUUUACCUAGUACAUCUCUGUCACUGUUCUAAAUGAAAUAAGACCGACCUUUAAGUAAAUGUGUGGUGGCAGCCAUCGUGCUGGCAUUUUUCAUUCUUGUAUAUAGGAAGCUUUCUUGCCUUUUAUCGUCAUCCUGAAUGGCUUUCUUGUCAUUAUAGGCAUCAGACGAACCUCAUUCCUGGAUUCUUCACUAGGAGCAGCAAUGUUUCUGUCCCCUGUGCUCUGAUCUCAAUUUCCUUGGUUGCUUUGCCUUUUCGCAGGCUCUUUUAGGUCAAAUGGCAGGUUAAUACAGCAGCCUCGAAUCAUCCUUUUUCUCUAAAAAUAAAUUCUGUGUAUAGGUUCAUCAUCUGAGUUUCUAUUUCCCCCUUAUUUAAAAUGUACUCAUACCUCCUUCUCUGGUGGAAUAUUUCACAUGGAUGUAUUUUGGAAGUAUUCUUCCCAACAAAGACCUGUGAUUAACCCACUGAAAAAUGAGGUCACUUGAAUAUUUGGAAUAACAUCCCAUGGAAUGGCUAUUUUGUGACUGCUGCUAUAUCGUUGCAUUUGGUCUGUUUAUGGCUUGAGAUCUGGUUAAUUUGAUCUGAAGGUGAAAGAGUUUGAAUUCUUGAAUUAUUAGUCCAUUAUCCAAAAUGAAUGUAAGAAUCUUGCUUUAUUCUCUCCCUAUUUAGACAAGUAUAUAUCUUGCUGAAAACGUUUCUUCUUUCUUCCUCCCUUUUCCCCAUUCCUAUUCAUAUACUUUCAUGCUAGAUUCCAUAGGUCAUCACAGCUGAAUAAUUUCUAUCAAAAAGUGAUAACGUGGAAUUCCCUGGUGGCUCAGAGGGUUAAAGGAUCUGGUGCUGUGACUGCCGUGGCUCAGGUCACUACUGUGGCGCAGGUUCAAUCCCUGGCCCAGGAAUUUCCACAUGCCAUUGGCAGAGCCCAAAAAAAAACAAAAACCAAACAAAAACCAAAAACCAAAAACAAAUAAACACAACAACCAGAAAGUGAUACCCUGGCUUUUUUCACUAAAUCACGAGGACAGGACAGUAGGGAGGACCAGAUGGGUUUUCUCAGAGACAAGAGCGCAAAGCGAGACCCUCUUUAGUCAUUAAGUCUGUUGUAUCUCAACAAACUUGAUCGUUGCUGUUGUUGUUGUAUACUUAUCUUGACUAGAAGGAUAGCAUAUUAAAGAGGUGGGGAGCAGAGAAGAAAAUUUGGUUAUCGAUCUAGCAAAUGUUUGGCAUAAUUUUAUUCUAGAAUUUCAACCUCUUAAUACAUAAAAAUUUCUAAGCAAUUAAUUAUGAGCACAAACUCACGGAUGUGGCAAUAGUUUUAUAAGAUCUUUGACAUUAUUUCAAUGUCAUCUUGACAGUCUGCAUCACAAAUUGUCCUAUUAUUUCAGGACCCUUUUUCACCCGUUUUUUGUUAUUCUCAUCACUAUUUGAUAUUUUAGUUUGCCUUUUACAUAUUCAAGACUAUUCUAAAAAGAAAAACCUAACACCUUUCUGUUUCUUCCUUUAACCUGUGAUCGCUCACCUGACAUUUAAUUGUGUUUAAAACGAAUAUCCAGCAGAUGGAAGAUAAUAGUCUAUUAUACACUGAAAAUAAACAGUUUUCUGAAAUUUGUUUAUCUAUUCAGACAUCGCAAGAAUGCUAUUUCCGUAAGUCUAAGCAGUUAAUAUUAAAUAUGACUAUCGUGUUUAAUGACAAAAUGGGGUUUUCCCUUAUCCCUGCCUUUCCCUGCCUUUCUCAUCUCUCCUGCCUUUCACAUCUGGUCGAAGGCUGGGAAGCUCUUACCACACUGCAUUCGUCAGCUUCUGAGUGGGCUCACCUCCUCCAGAUGGCAUUGUUUUCAAUAACAGCCGAACUUUGUAUACCCUCAGGGUCGGUCCUCACCAGUGAUUCCUGUCCAUAACCCCAUUAAUGUUGAGAGAAGUAAUACAGAGGCACCGAGAGAAGACCCCUGUCUUCUAAGCCCUCUUCGAGCCCUGGUACAGGAUGACACCAUUAACACCGAAAGAGUUCAGUCGUGAUGGUGUAGAAGCCAGGUGCUUGCAAAUGAGAUUUUAGGUCAUUAUGUCCUAAAUUCUCUCCUUUUGGUCUUCUCCCUUCCUCCCCCCAACCCCAAGAGUGCACCUUCUUUUUAUUAUAAAUUUUGUCAGAAAGCCUUUUAAAAAGUUCCUGGUUUUAAAAAUGUGAAAUGUUGACUUAACUGGGCAAUUUCGUAAAAAAGGAAAACGUAAGCAGAUAGAAUCAUGGGAAGCUGGGGAGGGGCUUGCUUCUGUUUGGAGCCAAAUCUCUUUGCUUCAAUAUUGAGAAUAUUUACAGCAUUCUGUAAUUAGGUCACAUUUGUUUUGUGAGGAGAGAUGAGGGUAGCUUUUAGAUAUGAAUUGGCUCUCUUAGUAUUGAAGUAUAUUUAAACAGUUCUUUAAAACACAGCCAGGAAAUCAUGGUGACGUUUACAAUAGCAUUUUGAAAUUAUAACUACUACUUUAAAUUUACUAAGAGAAAAUUUCCGGUAGUAGCUUGCAUUACAGAGUUAAUUUAUAAUGUCUCUACAUAAUUUUAUUGAGAAGACUUUUAUUUUUGUGGUGAAAAUAAUAUAGUGGCAACAGUUUUGAGGAAUCUUUAAAGCUGUCAUAGAGGGGAGAGCCAAACUUUGGCUGGAUUUUUACUAGACUUUUAAAGUAAGAAAAUGUAUCAAUAUUACCUUUCAGUUCAAUUGGUCUUGAUGAAGAAUGAUUAUUUGAGUUUAAGGGUCUUGAUAAAUGUUGGCAUCUGUUGUUUUUCUGAAACUCAUGAUGUUCAUCAGAGCGCAAUAUUCUUGCAUUGUGUUUUUUCUCUCAAAAUAAUGUAAUUUUUAUGAAAAACUCAAUUAGUGGAAUAUUUGAUGCAGUAUCCCCUUAUUUUGCUUCUUUCCUUCUUCCUUCCUAUUAUUUUUUUGAGGCAAGAAGCUUCCUUAAUAGUAUAGUUUCUACAGAGCUUUCUUACUUAUUUUUCUAGUAAUGGAUUUAAUGCUGUAAUGAUGUUUAAAUGCUCUGUGAGCAAAACUGUUAAACAACCUGAAGAAAUGCACUGCUGACUGACACUUCCUUUGGUCUUAAAUUGUCUCCUGCAUCUUUUCUAGUGACUCUCCGCUAUUAAUGGAUCUUAUUAAGAUAGUGUCUGUAUAGUUAGCAACAGUGUUGUAUUACUGUCACAUAUUAAGUUGCACUUUUGAUCAAAACUAUAAACAGAUGCGUGUGUAAAACAACCCAUUUUAUAGAAUGAGCAUAUGUCUAACCAUUUUCAUGGAAUUGGAAACGUGCUAUAUGUUGCAUUUUAUUCUCAUAUCGACUUUUCUACUCUCUCUACACCGGUUGUCUCGGUGCCUUUUUUCCUUUUGUAUAACUGUAUCACGUAAAGAAAUUGCUGACCUCUGUGUAAACAACGUAAAAACUGUUAAAAUCAUUAAUUCAAGGAGAUUUUAAUGGCAGUUUAAUUUUCCAGAGAAUAAAUUUUUGUGUGGGUUCCAAGUUACUUUUUUUCACUUUUCUGUAAGAAAUCUCUUCACGUUUCAGUACUCCCUCGGAGUGGGUAAGCAUCUGACGUCUCUGAUGAUGAUACACAAAAAUCAGCCAGAAUUCUUAUCAUUGACAAAUAAGUGUUAAUGUGACAAUUACACAAAAUAAAAUAAUGUUGGUU
rnacentral:lncRNA from 1 species